rnacentral:lncRNA from 1 species
GCUACAUAGUAUACUCUCCAUAUAUAUAUAUAUAUAUAUAUAAUAACUUACUUAUUGCACAAUACGUCUGUAAUUUACUAGACGAAUCUUUUAAAUUUAGUUAGUCUAUAAUUAGGGCACUCACAAUGCAGACUCUAUCAUAGAGUCUAAAGAUAUUUAUUAUCUCGAACAAUGUGGACUUAGAGUCUAAAUAAGACUUGGAGUCUUAUUUCUUCUACCCCUUUCUUCAAUAAAUAUACUAUCACAUCAAAAAAAUACCAUAAAUAAUAUAUAAUUAAUUGUCUUAAACUCUGUGAUACAGUCUUACAUUGUGAGUGCUCUUAGACAAUAAUAGUUAAAUAUAAAUUAAAAUACUACGAUAAUCAAAACCAUAAAUUUUCAGCAAGAAAGGGCAAGGCCCGAAGGUCCGGAACCGAGUGCGCAGUUAGGCCCUGUUUAGUUCCCCACACAAAAUUUUUUCGUCCAUCCCAUCGAAUUUUUAGACACAUGCAUGAAACAUUAAAUGUAGAUUAAAAAAUAAACUAAUUACACAGUUUAGUUGAGAAUCACGAGACGAAUCUUUUAAGCCUAGUUACUCCAUGAUUAGCCUUAAGUGCUACAGUAACCCACAUAUACUAAUGACAGAUUAAUUAUGCUUAAUAAAUUUGUCUUGCAGUUUCUUGACGAGCUAUGUAAUAGGCAGCCGCGUUGCGCGGCUGAUAGGACGCCCUACUCCUCGAGUCCUGGUCCUGCCAGUGCCGGCACCACUGUCCACACUGUUUCUGUUUCAGAGGAGAUGGUGCGCGCAAGGCACAUCGAAGAAGCUUGCUGUCUCGGGAUAGCGUAUAUGUAUGGGCAAAUCGGGAGAUGGGUCCCUCCUCGGCGCAACAAAUGCCGUAAAUGCAUGAUCUGGACACGCGAGCUGGGCUAGGUCACGACUCCAAGGCCUUGUUUAGCUUUUAAAAAAAAUUAUAAUUUUUUUUAGAUUUUAUGUCACAUCAAAUUUUAAGGUAUAUACAUAUAAAACAUUAAAUAUAGAAAAAAUAGCUAGAGUCUUGUUUAGUUCACCCAAAAAUAAAAAAAAAAUAAGAUUCUUCGUCACAUCGAGUCUUGCAGCACAUGCAUGAUAUAGAUGAAAAUAAAAACUAAUUGCACAGUUUGACUGUUAAAUCACGAGACAAAUCUUUUAAGUCUAGUUACUACAUAAUUGAAUAAUGUUUGUCAAAUAAAAAUGAAAUUAAUGUAGUGUCAAAAUCCAAAAAAAUGGAUCUAAACAAGGCCUAUUACACAGUUUAUCCGUAAUUUAUGAGACAAAUUUUUUAGACCUAGUUAAUUUAUAAUUAGACAAUAUUUGUCAAAUACAAACAAAAAUGUUAUUAUACUUAUUUUGCAAAAAACAAAAACUAAAUUAAGGCCCAGGUACGGAGUAUUGUACUAGUAGUACUGAUUGAGGCCUCUCGUCGGGUAGCUUUUGAGCGUUUGUUGCAGUUCGCGACCGUAGUCCUGGUGAUGGUUGGAAGCCAGGAUGCUGACAUGGUGUACUGUAGUCUGUAGCUGAUAUUUCGUGGACGGAUGUCGCGUAUUCCCUUACUUCAUUGAGGGGGUGUUUAAGCCUUCUUUAGUUCCAAAAAAAUUUUACACAAAUUUUCAGAUUCUCCGUCACAUCAAAUCUUUAGACGUAUGUAUGAAUUAUUAAAUAUAGACGAAAAUAAAAACUAAUUGCACAGUUUGGUCGGAAUUGACGAGACGAAUCUUCUGAGUCUAGUUAGUACAUAAUUGGAUAAUAUUUGUCAAAUACAAACGAAAGUGGUAUUAUUCCUAUUUUGCAAAAUUUUUUGGAACUAAACAAGGCCUUAGU